CUGGACCCAAACACAGCACACACACUCCUCUCUCUGUCUGAAGGGAACAGAAAGGUGUACGAAUUCUGUGGAGGCAGCGUGAUACAAGGACUAUACAUUUCCUGUCUCCUAUCAGCCGGAUUUACUCCGAAAAGGGCAUCAAUGACCAUUGGACCAUAUACUUCUCCACAAUAUUGCAGGCACUAAAGGUGGACUUUUAACAAGUGCAGUGACAAUGCAGUGGUGCGGUCGGCCGUGAACUUCCAUGGCUUCAAUGAGAGGUGGCAGUCUGUCACGUCUGCUCUCGCUCCUCCCCUCCGGUGUUUGACGUCGCC
rnacentral:lncRNA from 1 species